rnacentral:rRNA from 1 species
CCCUUAGAUGUCCUGGGCCGCACGCGCGUUACACUGAUGCAUUCAACGAGCUUAUAACCUUGGCCGAGAGGCCUGGGCAAUCUUGUUAACGUGCAUCGUGAUAGGGAUAGAUUAUUGAAAUUAUUAAUCUUGAACGAGGAAUUCCUAGUAAGCGCAGAUCAUCAAUCUGCAUUGAUUACGUCCCUGCCCUUUGUACACACCGCCCGUCGCACCUACCGAUUGGAUGGUCCGGUGAAGCCUCGGGAUUGUGGUUCUUGCCGCUUUAUUGUGGCGCGACCGCGAGAACUUGUCUAAACCUUAUCAUCUAGAGGAAGGUGAAGUCGUAACA